GAGUGAUCGAAAGAUGAAAAGCACCUUGAAAAGAGGGUUAAACAGUACGUGAAAUUGUUGAAAGGGAAGCGCUUGUGACCAGACUUGGGCGCGGCGAAUCAUCCGGGGUUCUCUCCGGUGCACUUCGCCGUGUUCAGGCCAGCAUCAGUUCGGCGCGGGGGAAAAAGGCUUCGGGAACGUGGCUGCUCCGGCAGUGUUAUAGCCCGUUGCAUAAUACCCUGCGCUGGACUGAGGACCGCGCAUCUGCAAGGAUGCUGGCGUAAUGGUCACCAGCGAC
rnacentral:rRNA from 1 species